rnacentral:rRNA from 1 species
AGCGAACGCUGGCGGCAGGCUUAACACAUGCAAGUCGAGCGGGCACCUUCGGGUGUCAGCGGCAGACGGGUGAGUAACACGUGGGAACGUACCCUUUGGUUCGGAACAACUCUGGGAAACUGGAGCUAAUACCGGAUACGCCCUUAUGGGGAAAGGUUUACCGCCGAAGGAUCGGCCCGCGUCUGAUUAGCUAGUUGGUGAGGUAACGGCUCACCAAGGCGACGAUCAGUAGCUGGUCUGAGAGGAUGAUCAGCCACACUGGGACUGAGACACGGCCCAGACUCCUACGGGAGGCAGCAGUGGGGAAUAUUGGACAAUGGGCGGCAAGCCUGAUCCAGCCAUGCCGCGUGAGUGAUGAAGGCCUUAGGGUUGUAAAGCUCUUUUGUCCGGGACGAUAAUGACGGUACCGGAAGAAUAAGCCCCGGCCUAACUUCGUGCCAGCCGCCGCGGUAAU